AGUCGAUGAGCGGCAAAGCAAGUAGCCAACAGAUCGUCAACGACGUUAGGUAAGAUGAGGACCAAAUACAUUUUUUAAUCUCCCACUUGGAGCAAGCUUUCGCAAAUACAUUGUUUAAAUAUACGCCUUGGUUUUGCUCAUCUUCUUCACAGCAACCUAAACACUUCAAACACUGUAGUUUCCUUUGAUUUUGCAAGAAAUGGCAGAAGCUAUUCUCUACGAUAUUGCUGGUGAAAUCAUUCUGAAACUUGGUUCUCGAGCUCUUCAAGAGAUUGCGCUGUGGUGGGGUGUCAAUGAUGAGAUUGACAAACUCCAGGACACAGUUUCCAGGAUUCAGGCGGUGCUUCUUGAUGCAGAGGAGAAGCAGGCAUGGAACAAUCAAGUUAAAGAUUGGCUUGGGAAGCUGAAAGAGGUGGUUUUUGAUGCAGAUGACUUGCUUGACGAUUUUUCAACGGAGGUUUUGCGUCGACAAGUGAUGGGUGGGAAUAGAAUGACAAAGGAGGUACGCAUUUUCUUUUCAAGAUCAAACCAGUUUGUUUAUGGUCUUACGAUGGGUCAUAAAAUUAAGGCCAUUAGGGAGAGGCUGGUUGACAUUUAUUCUGAUAAGGAGAAACUUAAUUUAGUGGUUCGCCAUGAAGAGAGAGGUCAUAUGAAUAGGUUGAGGGAUCAAACUAACUCCUCUAUACCCGAAGUUGUUGUUGGGAGAGAAGGGGACAAAGAGGCACUCAUAGGUCUUUUAUUGGGUUCCAGCUAUGGUGAAAAUGUCUCAGUCAUUUCAAUAGUUGGAAUUGGGGGGUUAGGGAAGACCACACUAGCUCAAGUUUUAUACAAUGACGAGCGAGUCAAAGCUCAUUUUGAGUUAAGACUAUGGGUGUGUGUUUCAGACACUUUUGAUGUAAAAUUGAUUGUUAAAAAGAUUUUGGAGUCUGCAACUGAUUCAAAACCAGAAGAUCUUGAGCUAAAUACAUUGAAAAAUCGACUGGAUAAAUGUUUAAAUAGGAAAAAGUUCCUACUUGUGUUAGAUGAUGUAUGGAAUGAGGAUCGUGAAAAUUGGGAUAGUUUAAAGAGAUUAUUAGUGAGUGAUGAAAUUGGAAGUAAGAUUGUAGUAACCACACGUUCUCAAAAGGUUGCAGCAAUAACUAGCACAUUAUCAACUCAUGGUUUAGAAGGGUUAUCUCAGGCUGAGUCGUGGUCUUUUUUGGUGCAAAUAGUUUUCAAGGGAGAAGAACCAAAAAACAAACGUGUGAUAGGAAUUGGAAAUGAGAUUGUCAAGAAAUGUGUUGGAGUUCCUCUUGCA
rnacentral:misc_RNA from 1 species